GUCAGUAAUGAACCCGUACACUCGGACGCCUUCAAGAUUUAGAGAGUUCUUGCGAGUAUCAACAUUGGACCCCCCGGACAGAAGGCUGGGUAUCGACAAGUACUCUGACGUGACCAAGCCAAUCAUCCAUACAUCGGCGUUCAUGGAGAUAUGCUCCACCCACUCUGAGCGUAGCAAGCAACUUUAAAGUGGUCAGGCCAACUUACAAUUAAAGGUUCAGGUUCGGAAAUAUUGUGUUUGAGAUCACAUCAGGCAGAUAGAGAAGGUCCUCCAGGACCUCCUUCAGCUGCAAUACGAGGGCCUGGCAAUCAUGAAGAUGUUUGAAAGGGCCAAAGUGAACGUUAAUCUGCUCAUCUUCCUCAUGAACAAAAAUCGACAGAGCGUUAAAUUGGAUUUCCACUACAUUCAUUGACAGUUUUAUACGUACAGUGCAUGUGCUCUCUGUGACACUGUAGGGAGCAUUGAAUUUAAACCAUCAUUAUUACUGUGCUAUAUUGACCAAUUCCAACUGAUUUGUUUUUAGGUAAUUGUUAUGUAAUGU